rnacentral:rRNA from 1 species
CAUGCAAGUCGAGCGAUGAGGCCCCUUCGGGGGUACAUCAGCGGCGGACGGGUGAGUAACGCGUGGGUAACCUACCCUUGAGUUGGGGAUAACUCCGCGAAAGCGGGGCUAACACCGAAUAAUAUUCUGAUUUCCACGGGAGUUGGAAUCAAAGGUGGCCUCUGCGUGCAAGCUAUCGCUUAAGGAUGGGCCCGCGUACCAUUAGCUAGUUGGUAGGGUAAUAGCCUACCAAGGCAACGAUGGUUAGCUGGUCUGAGAGGAUGGCCAGCCACACUGGAACUGAGACACGGUCCAGACUCCUACGGGAGGCAGCAGUGGGGAAUCUUGCGCAAUGGGGGAAACCCUGACGCAGCAACGCCGCGUGGGUGAUGAAGGCCUUCGGGUCGUAAAGCCCUGUCAGGUGGGAAGAAAAAUAUCGGUGCGAAUAGCGCCGUACUUGACG